GUGCCAGCAGCCGCGGUAAUACAGAGGGUGCGAGCGUUAAUCGGAAUUACUGGGCGUAAAGCGCACGUAGACGGUUUUGUAAGUCAGAUGUGAAAUCCCUGGGCUCAACCUGGGAACUGCAUUUGAGACUGCAAGGCUAGAGUAUGGAAGAGGGAAGUGGAAUUUCCGGUGUAGCGGUGAAAUGCGUAGAUAUCGGAAGGAACACCAGUGGCGAAAGCGACUUCCUGGUCCAAUACUGACGUUCAGGUGCGAAAGCGUGGGGAGCAAACAGGAUUAGAAACCCUAGUAGUCCAAU
rnacentral:rRNA from 1 species